rnacentral:rRNA from 1 species
CCUACGGGUGGCAGCAGUGAGGAAUAUUGGUCAAUGGGCGGGAGCCUGAACCAGCCAAGUCGCGUGAAGGAAGAAGGUACUUAGUAUUGUAAACUUCUUUUGUCGGGGAACAAAGUCGGAGACGCGUCUCCGGAUGAGUGUACCCGAAGAAAAAGCAUCGGCUAACUCCGUGCCAGCAGCCGCGGUAAUACGGAGGUUGCGAGCGUUCUCCGGAUUUAUUGGGUUAAAGGGGUGGGCAGGGGGGGGAUAAAGUCAGCGGUAAAAUGUCGGGGCCAAACCCCGGACGGCCGUUGAAACUGGUUUUCUAGAGUGGGAGAGAAGUAUGCGGAAGUCGUGGUGUAGCGGUGAAAUGCAUAGAUAUCACGAAGAACUCCGAUUGCGAAGGCAGCAUACCGGCUCCAUACUGACGCUGAGGCACGAAAGCGUGGGGAUCGAACAGGAUUAGAUACCCUGGUAGUC